GAUGAAAUGAUUAUUUAAAAAUUUUUCCAAGGGUGUUCUUGAGAUUAUAAAAUGCUGAGGUUUAUGAGUCAUAUGGGAAAUACUGGUUAUCGAUAGUAAUAUAUUUGCAAAGAAGACGUCACCCAUCCUAGAGAGAACCCCAUGAAGUUAAGACAGUCGUGUAAAACUGUUUCUCCAGAUGGCUCUAAAAUAGGCCUGACUCCUAUUCAUGUUCAGGUGUAGGUGUUAGGUUGUGAAGUACUUGAUAAUGGGGGCCUAAAUGUGCCUCAUUCAGACUGAGACUUGGCUAUUAAACUCAUUUCCAACUAAUACACUGCCCUCUCCCUUCUGUAUCUAUACGCAUUGCUUCUCAAGCUGUUUUUAGAAACAUAGAUAAACUAGGGAAGGGCACUAGCCUUAUCCAAAUGGCCUAAGAACACAAUUAGCAUCCCCUAAUCUGUAAAUAAUCUGUAAAGAUAUAAAUAAUUGUCUUCCAUGCCUUUCCUCCCAGUAGAACCUGCGGUGUCUAUUUCACUUGUUUUGAUGUCUUUAAAAAUCCAUAGAUUGAUUCCUAUAUUGGGAAAUAACCUCCCACUUUUCCUCCUUGAGGCUCGUAAACUAAAUUUGCCCUUGGCUAGGAGCACUGAACCAAAAAGAACGUUUGUGCUCAGGAAGCAGCGGGCUUAGUAACCUUGUGGUCGGGUAGAGCUGGCAGGAGGAUGUUGUGCUUGUCACGACUGGUCCACAGAAGUCACAGCCCUCCGCCCUGUGUCCAAAGUGGGCCUCAGCAUUGUCAACACGAGCUCCAGGCCUCUGCUCCCAGCUGAUCAGAUGAUGAGAGAUUUAAAUCUAUUUGCCAUCCCCAUCAUAAAACAAAGCAGCAGCCCAUUGACUUUUAAACCCAACCGCAUUUUGUUUUUUCCUACUUAACAAAAAAUAAGUGGACUUUUCCAGUAUUAAUGUCAGAUUUCUUGGCAUUCCCUUUUUCCUUAUGUAACCACGAUGUCUUUUGAUUUCUUAUGGAUUUUGAAGAAUGUGC
rnacentral:lncRNA from 1 species